CGGGGCGUGGCGCAGCCUGGUAGCGCGUCGGUUUUGGGUACCGAAGGUCCUCAGUUCGAAUCUGGGCGCCCCGA
rnacentral:tRNA from 1 species